UGUAGCGUAAUCAAUAGCCAAUUAAUUGUUGGCCGGUAUGAAUGGCGUCACGAAGGCCCCACUGUCUUAAGAGGACUCUCCAUGAAAUUGAAUUCGUAGUGAAGAUGCUACGUCCAUAUUGUAAGACGAAAAGACCCCAUUGAGCUUUACUAAAGACUUGCAUGGCUCAAAAUAAUUUGACUUAAAUAAAGAGUUUAGAUAAUGUGGGACCCGUUUUCGGUUAAUGAAACACCACUCUUUUAUUUUAAGAGAGCUAACAUUACAGGGAUAGUGUAAGUUGGAUAGUUUGGUUGGGGCGACCACCUUUUAAAAGGUAACGAAGGUGAGCUUAAGGUCCGUAGUUAAUAGCCGGUGGCCUGACUGCAAGGGGGACGUCUCGAGCAGACACGUCCUUAGGGAUGUGGACUAUAGUGACCCGUCAUCUUAGUGUGGAAUAGUUGACGAUCAACGAAUAAAAGCUACC
rnacentral:rRNA from 1 species